UACGUAGGGAGCAAGCGUUGUCCGGAAUCAUUGGGCGUAAAGCGCGCGUAGGUGGCUUCGUAAGUCCGUUGUGAAAGUCAAAGGCUCAACCUUUGAAAGCCGAUGGAUACUGUGAAGCUAGAGUACGGAAGAGGCGAGUGGAAUUCCUGGUGUAGCGGUGGAAUGCGCAGAUAUCAGGAAGAACACCAACGGCGAAGGCAGCUCGCUGGGACGGAACUGACGCUGAGGCGCGAAAGCGUGGGGAGCGAACAGG
rnacentral:rRNA from 1 species